rnacentral:lncRNA from 10 species
CCAGCCUAGGUGACAGAACGAGACCUUGCCUCAGAAAAAAAAAAAAAAAAAGGGUGGGGGGAGGUAAAUUUAAUUGUAAGUUAUUUCACUAUAAAGCUGUUAAAAAAUAACUAUUAAGUCUAAACAGUAAUCCUGGGAAUGUAUAUUGGGAAACUAUAUUGUACCUCUGCAGAACUGAAAAACAUACAGAGACAGGCAUGCAGCCGGUGUUCAAUAAAUGCUUUCAGAAUGUAGUGGAAACAUUAUGCACCAGUGUUUAUUGAAAGGAAAGUCUCCCUGCUCUCUCAAGUUCAAGUCAGCCCAGGUUUAACAUUAUCCUUGUCUGCCACCUGGUGGCCCAAAUGGGCAAAGUGGGUGUCCUGGUCUUUCGCUCCAAACUUCAAAAAGCUGUAGUUGGGCUUAAAGGCCGUGGAUGGAAAGAAGGGAGACUUUCGCCCUGGAAAUCCGGUGCCCCGAGAGGCAAGUUGGUCAGAGGGGAGCACACAAUGAGAGGCUGCCAUCUAUUAACCAGAGAACAAGUCCUUGCCAGACAGCAAAUCUGCUGACACCUUGAUCCUGGACUUCUAAGCCUCUAUAACUGUAAGCAAUACAUUUCUGUCACAUGAAGGCACCCAGUUUAUAACAUCAAUCUGUAAAAUUUUUUUUUAAGUUUUAUAUCAGUAUAGGAAACUUUUUUUUUUGAGACAGGGUCUUGCUGUAUUGCCCAGGCUGGAGUGUAGUGGCACAAUCACGACUCACUGCAGCUCUGACCUCCCAGGCUCAAGUGAUCUGCCCGCCUCAGCCUACUGAGUAACUGAGACUACAGGUGCGUGCCACCACAUCCAGCCAAUUUUUGAAUUUUUUUUUUGUAGAGAUGGCGUUUCUCCAAGCUGCCUAGGCUAGCGUCAAAGUCCUGGGCUCAAGUUCAGGAGGCCCACCUCGGCAUCCAAAAGUGCGGGGAUUAUGGGCAUGAGCCACCGUGCCUGGCCGAAACCGGUAGUAUUUAUUUAUUUUUUUUUUUGAGACAGACCCUCGCUCUGUCACCCAGACUGGAGUGCAGUAGUGCGAUCUUGGCUCACUGCAACCUCCGCUUCCUGAGUUCAAGUGAUUCUUGUGUCUCAGCCUCCUGAAUAUGUAGGAUUAUAGGUGUGCACCACCAAGCCUAGCUAAUUUUUGUAUUUUUAGUAGAGACAGGGGUUCACCGUGUUGGCUAGGCUGGUCUCAAACUCUGGGCCAGCUACUCAGCUACUCAGGAGGCUAAGGCAGAAGGAAUUCGACGCUGCAUGAGCUAUGAUCCCGCCUUUGCACUCUAGUCUAGGCAACAAAGCAAGACCCAGUCUCCAGAAAAAACAUAGUGUGACUGCUGUGGGGAUCAGGGAGGGAGGAAGUGAUGGAAAAUUGCCUAACAGAGAAAAUCAGUCCUCUUAAUCGAUAAAGAAUUUCUACAAACAAAGAAUAUGUCAUGUAUACAACAGAAAAAGUAGCAUAAGAAUGUGUUCAGAAUAAGCACUACAAAUCAGUGUCUCUCAAAUAAACGAAGAGAUCUUUAAGUCAUUCAUAGUAAGAGAAAUGCACAUUGAAUUCUCACUGUGAUGUCAACCACUCAUUUUGUGGUAUCCCAACAAGCAAGAUAAUCAGACGUUACAUAUUUUCUAUCAGAAGUAUGCAGCACCACAUGUGAAGUGGUCCUCCAAAAAACAAAACAAAAUAAAACCUAAAACCCAAAUCUGAUUAUGCCUCUAGAAUAUAAAUACAAGUUUACACAGUAGACAGGGGAUAGAAGAACUGUUAAAAGACACCACCCGGAUGCAAUCAGCAAAACCUAAAUGGUGGGAUCCUCUCCAGAACAAAUAAACUGGUUUCUUCCACAUGCAACAAAAUUUAGAAAGAAAAUUAAAGAGAGGCAGAUGGUAAAUCUGAAGACUGAAAGAGAUUCAAGAAACACAUAAAAAUGACAGAUAAUAAUAAGUGUUGGUAAGGAUAUGGAAAACUUGGAACUUUCAUACAUUGCCAGGGGAAAGGAAAAUGGUGCAGCUGCUUUGGAAAACAGUCUGGCAGUUUUUCAGGGGAUUAAACAUGGAGUUGCCAUAUGACUCAGCAAUUCCACUCCUAACUAUAAAGCCAAGACAAUUGGUGGGGCAUGGAGGCUCACGCCUGUAAUCCAAGCACUUUAAGAAGUCAAGGUGGGUGGAUCACCUGAGGUCAGGAGUUUGAAACCAGCCUGGCUGACAUGGUGAAACCCUAUCUCUACUAAAAAUACAAAACUUAGCCAGGCGUGGUGGCAUGUGCCUGUAAUUCUAGCUACUUGGGAGCUGAGGCAUGAGGAUCCCUUGAACCCAAGAGGCAGAGGUUGCAGUGAGCCUGGGCAACAGAGUGAGACUCCAUCUCAAAAAAAAAAAAAAAAGAGAAAAAAGAAAUAUCUACUUAUUUGCAAAGUAUGAACGUUAUUUGAAUCCUGAUUUAAAAAAAAACUUGUAUUAAUACAAGUAUCAUUUAUAAAUACUAAAGAACACGACCAUAUAUUUGAUUAAAUUGAGAACAUAUUAUGUUGUGGAAAUACACACAUACAUAUAUAUGUUCCUUUUCUUUAGUAGGACAUGAUGAAAACUUUACAGAUGAUAUGAUGUCUGGGAUUUGUUUCAAAUAAUGAUGCAAGAGAGAGGUGGCCAUCCGGAAAACACCAGGUUAUAUUCAACCUGAGAAAGCUGAUUUAAAACAGAAACAAAAACAAGAUCUUUGUUAUUGCUGAAGACGGACAAUGGGUAUGUUGGAUUUCUUAUACUACUGUUUCUACCUCAGACUUGGCUCAUCCUUUGGUGCUGUGCAGCCCUUGAGCAGGCUUGACCCUCUCUGUGCCUCAGGGAGGUUCACCUGCUGUUCUUAUUCCCACCAGCUCCCACCUGCCUGGCACUUUCCCUUUUGGAACCUCAGGUUCUGCUUCUGUAGGAUUUGGGAAAUCUGAGCCCAGUUUCAUAAUAAAAAGUCAGAAAACAGGUCAGUCGCAGUGGGUGACUUUGGUAAUCCUAGCACUUUGGGAGGCCGAGGUGGGUGGAUCACUUGAGGUUAGGAGUUCGAGACCAGCCUAGCCAACAUGGUGAAAGCCUGUCUCUACCAAAAUAUAUAAUAUAUUUGUCAGACACACAUAUGUUUAUAAUAUAAUAUAAUAUACAUCUAAAUAUUGGACUCCGUCUGUUGCCCAGGCUGGAGUGCAGUGGUGUGAUUGCAGCUCACUGCAGCCCCCACCUCCUGGGCUUGAGAUCCCCCCAUCUCAACUUCCCAAGUACUUGGGAACACAGUUGUGUGCCACCAUGCCUGAGAGUCCUUUUUUUUUUUUUUUUUUUUUUUUUGGUAGAGACAAGUCUUGUUGCCCAAGCUGGUCUCUAACUCCUAGCCUCAUGUGAUCCUCCCAUCUCUGCCUCACACAGUGCUGGGAUAACAGGUGUGAGCCACUGUGUCUGGCCCAAAAUAUUUCAAAAGGUAGCCAUCUGUGAGGCCAGGCAGAUCUUCCUGCUGGGCUCCUGGUGAAUUCUAGAAUGUGAUCAAGGGCAGGCAUGGGAGGAAGCCCUGCAGGAGUGCACCAUGGGGCGAAUAUGGACUCCACCUGGGCAGAUUAAAUUGGGAAAGGGUCGGGAGAGGCAGUCAGAUCAUACACUUAGGAGAGUUUCAGGUGAGAGGACCAAAGGCCAAAACACUCCCGGAGCUUCGAAAAGGGCCUGGAGAAGCCUGGCAGGCACACAGAGCCUUCACCUUUGCCCUGGAAGCCAAGUUGUGCCCUUGCCCAGGAUGAGGUAAAUGGCGUGAGGGACACCACGAGCUCUUUGGCUCUUGUUUCUGGAGACAGAUUUUUGUUUUUUCACCCAGGCUGGAGUGCAAUAGUGUGAUGAAGGCUCACUGCAGCCUCAACCUCCCCUACUAAAGUGAUCUCCCACCUCAGCCUCCCAAGAAGCUGGGACUAGAGGUCACAGGCCACCACAGCCCAUUAAUUUCUUUUAAUUAUUUUGUACACUCUGAGUCUAUGUUGCCCAGGCUGGCCUCCAACUCCUGGGAUCAAGCGAUUCUCCCCCUUGGCCUUCCAAAAUGCUGGGAUUAAAGGAGUGAGCCAAUCGCACCCAGCCACUGCGGCCUCUUAGAUCUGCUUUAGGAUUUGGAGCCUGGGGGCUUCUGUUCCCCAAGGACCACUAACCUUGUCUGAGGCCCCUUUGGAGGGCUCAGCGCGCCCCCUUGGCCAAGGACGCCACACAUUGAGAGCCAGCUGCUGCCAGAAGCUAUUACUGUUAUUACCGGCCGGCAGCACAGGCUACAGCCACAAUCGUAAGAGGGAAAUGGACUGAAUCCCCACACCCCAAUCCCUCACUCACUCCGACCCGAGGCUGUCUACCCGGCCUGGCAUGUCCCGGCGCUCCUGGGGCCCCUGUACUCCGCUGGUUCCUCGCUGUGGUGUCCCGCAGCCCGACCAUUUCUGUGCUUC